GAGAACUGUGCGUCGUCAUUUUCGUCUCCGUGAGUUUCUAUAUUUUGGUGCCGAAACCCGGGAGGUGGUGAUCCAGAGUUAUCGACAAUGGAUUGUUAAAGCGAAAAGUAACGCGACCCACAAGCGUCAUCAACGAGUGAGCCACCGCAGGCGUGCGAAAAACGGCACGCCUAGACACGCAACAGCGCAACGAGGCCUAGUGACGCUUCAUCGACGCUUACCCUCCAUCCCCGCCGCGAUACCGGAGACACUGCGAUGAAGCGGCUCAAAGCGAAGAUGGCGGCUCUGAGAGCUCAGGUGACGACGCUGCUCGCGGACACUGACUCAUCCCUCUAGGGCAAUGCUGAUGGAAAAAGCGUCACUGUUUUGUUGGGGAGGUUGACUGCCUUGUUGACGAAACUUACAGAAGUGUACGCAGACAUUGAAUGGGUCGUGCCAGAUAGCAAUGCUGAAGAAGACCAUAGUCGCACAGUGGAGAUAAACGACCAGAUCGUCGCUUCCAAGCGAAGGUGGACCAGGAAGUGAAAGGAGCUCAGCUGAAAACAUCGGUUGCUGAGAGACUGACCUGCCUCCCACAGGAAGAUGGUACCGGCGUUCCAUCGAAAGUGAAACUACCGAAAUUGGAGCUACAGCGAUGGUGGUGGUGCCACAACAGAAUGGCAGCCGUUCUGGCAACAAUUUCGACACGCCGUUCACAACAACGCUGCGCUCACCAACUCCUAGAAAUUCCUGCGUCCACGAUCAACGCUCACAGGAAAAACAUUGUCAGCUGUGGCAGGCAUUCAGGCGAUUGGAGAAAACUACGAUGCCGCUAUCGACCUCUUAAAAGAACGCUUCGGUCGGCCGGACGUCCUAAUUUAAGAACAUCUGACACGGCUAUACUCGACUUGCCACCGGUACACCACGCGAACGAGUCGGAGUUGCAUACAUACGGAAAAACGACAGCACAAAUUUGAGCCAAGCAAAACACUUCAGAGAACGCCACGAGGAAACAGGGUAUAAUUAAUCUAACUACAACGCAGUACAGUGCUGUGUCGAGAUCGACAAUGGUGGCAAAGAGGAACGAUGUGGGGAAGCACCACAGGUAAUACCGACGCAGCCACGUGCCGACCCUGAACCAACACCAACCUGAUCGGCAAGCCUUGGUGACACGACUUUAGAAGCGGCGUUCAUCGACUACGUCAGCAAGAACUCGCAAACG